rnacentral:rRNA from 1 species
AGAGUUUGAUCCUGGCUCAGAUUGAACGCUGGCGGCAGGCCUAACACAUGCAAGUCGAACGGUAACAGGAAGCAGCUUGCUGCUUCGCUGACGAGUGGCGGACGGGUGAGUAAUGUCUGGGAAGCUGCCUGAUGGAGGGGGAUAACUACUGGAAACGGUAGCUAAUACCGCAUAAUGUCGCAAGACCAAAGAGGGGGACCUUCGGGCCUCUUGCCAUCGGAUGUGCCCAGAUGGGAUUGGCUUGUUGGUGGGGUAACGGCUCACCAAGGCGACGAUCCCUAGCUGGUCUGAGAGGAUGACCAGCCACACUGGAACUGAGACACGGUCCAGACUCCUACGGGAGGCAGCAGUGGGGAAUAUUGCACAAUGGGCGCAAGCCUGAUGCAGCCAUGCCGCGUGUAUGAAGAAGGCCUUCGGGUUGUAAAGUACUUUCAGCGGGGAGGAAGGGAGUAAAGUUAAUACCUUUGCUCAAUGACGUUACCCGCAGAAGAAGCACCGGCUAACUCCGUGCCAGCAGCCGCGGUAAUACGGAGGGUGCAAGCGUUAAUCGGAAUUACUGGGCGUAAAGCGCACGCAGGCGGUUUGUUAAGUCAGAUGUGAAAUCCCCGGGCUCAACCUGGGAACUGCAUCUGAUACUGGCCAGCUUGAGUCUCGUAGAGGGGGUAGAAUUCAAGUGUAGCGGUGAAAUGCGUAGAGAUUUGGAGGAAUACCGGUGGCGUAGCCGCUCCCUGGACGAAGACUGACGCUCAGUGCGAAGCGUGGGGGAGCAAACAGGAUUAGAUACCCUGGUAGUCCACGCCGUAAACCAAUGUCGACUUGGAAGUGGUNCNUGAGGCNGGGCUUCNNAGCUAACGCCGUUAAGUCG